rnacentral:misc_RNA from 1 species
UGAAGAAAAAGCAUCGGCUAACUCCGUGCCAGCAGCCGCGGUAAUACGGAGGAUGCAAGCGUUAUCCGGAAUCAUUGGGCGUAAAGGGUCCGCAGGUGGCGAAUAAAGUCUGCUGUUAAAGACCGGGGCUUAACUCCGGAAAGGCAGUGGAAACUGAUUAGCUAGAGUACGGUAGGGGUAGAGGGAAUUCCCAGUGUAGCGGUGAAAUGCGUAGAUAUUGGGAAGAACACCGGUGGCGAAAGCGCUCUACUAGGCCGAAACUGACACUGAGGGACGAAAGCUAGGGUAGCGAAAGGGAUUAGAUACCCCUGUAGUCUUAGCGGUAAACGAUGGAUACUAGGUGUAGCUUGUAUCGACCCAAGCUGUGCCGAAGCUAACGCGAUAAGUAUCCCGCCUGGGGAGUACGCACGCAAGUGUGAAACUCAAAGGAAUUGACGGGGGCCCGCACAAGCGGUGGAGUAUGUGGUUUAAUUCGAUGCAACGCGAAGAACCUUACCAGGGCUUGACAUGUCGCGAAUCUAGCGGAAACGUUAGAGUGCCUUAGGGAAUGCGAACACAGGUGGUGCAUGGCUGUCGUCAGCUCGUGUCGUGAGAUGUUGGGUUAAGUCCCGCAACGAGCGCAACCCUCGUCCUUAGUUGCCAAUAUUAAGUUAGGCACUCUAGGGAGACUGCCGGGGACAACUCGGAGGAAGGUGGGGAUGACGUCAAGUCAGCAUGCCCCUUACGUCCUGGGCGACACACGUACUACAAUGGUUGGGACAAAGGGCAGCAAGCUCGCGAGAGUAAGCGAAUCUCAUCAAACCCAGCCACAGUUCAGAUUGCAGGCUGCAACUCGCCUGCAUGAAGUAGGAAUCGCUAGUAAUCGCAGGUCAGCAUACUGCGGUGAAUUCGUUCCCGGGCCUUGUACACACCGCCCGUCACACCAUGGAAGCUGGCUACGCCCGAAGUCGUUACCCUAACCCGGUUUUGGGAGGGGGAUGCCGAAGGUAGAGCUAGUGACUGGGGUGAAGUCGUAACAAGGUAGCCGUACCGGAAGGUGUGGCUGGAUCACCUCCUUUACAGGGAGACCUAGUCUAAUUACCAAUAGAUGAAAAAGUUGGUAAUUCGCAAGAAUCCUUAGGUCGUGAAGGGAGCAAGAAGAAACUUUCAAACUGUAAUGGGUGAGGGUACUCGGGCUAUUAGCUCAGGUGGUUAGAGCGCACCCCUGAUAAGGGUGAGGUCCCUGGUUCAAGUCCAGGAUGGCCCACCUGAAAUACACAGGCAGGAUGCCACAAAAAAAGGAAAAAAUUUUAGCAUUGUCUCUUGUAAUCAAGAGCAAGAGAUAAUGCUGGAAUCUAUUCC